GUCUUUGAAUGCAGUUGGUCAUUAUACCUCAGGGCGUAACAAAUAAUUAGCUUAUUCCCCUCCUAUUAUAUAGGAUAUCCUAUUUCCUAUAUUCACUGUAGGGUGAAGGAGUCUGUGUUUCUAUCAGAUAAAGUGAACUAUAUUAUUUAUCUGCUUGUUAUUAACAAACUUAUUACUGCUUCCUUCUAGUAAAAAUAUGAAAGAAAAUGAGUUCUAUUGUAUUUUGCCCUAGUAGUUGACUUGGAGAAGAAAUUUACAGAGUAUUCAUUAUGAGGGCCUGAGGCCUGAAAACUGCUUUCCUGAGAUUUCUUUGGCGGCUGGCUUCUUAAGACUCUGACAGUGGGAGGUAAUAGCAGUGAUAGUUUCUGGGAACUUUGGAACCCAGGACUCCUGCACUAGCAACAGAACGGCCUGGGAUUCCUGCAAGGCAGCCGCAGCAAGGAGUGGUCCCAGUACUAGCUGCAGUGGACUGCUCCCGCGUGGACUACCCCAGCUCCAGCCGGCACUGACCCUCCCAGGUAACACCAUUUUACCUUCUCCUUUGGCCUGGGAUGGCGGCUAACUGCAGAUACUGACCUUUGAGGAAACUUUUCUUUUCCCUUCCGCCUACUUCAGACCUUCCAACUUGGUUGUAGCUUAUCUCGAGACUAUAUUAAAUUCCUCCCAUUGAAAUAUCAGUUGAAUUUUUGUUUUCUUCUGAGUGGACAAUAAUACUGGCUACAUGAUGGAAGUACAAUCCUGCAGAACCCAAACCAGUUUUUCCUUUG